CAGUAGCCGCGGUAAUACAGAGGGUGCGAGCGUUAAUCGGAUUUACUGGGCGUAAAGCGUGCGUAGGCGGCUUUUUAAGUCGGAUGUGAAAUCCCUGAGCUUAACUUAGGAAUUGCAUUCGAUACUGGGAAGCUAGAGUAUGGGAGAGGAUGGUAGAAUUCCAGGUGUAGCGGUGAAAUGCGUAGAGAUCUGGAGGAAUACCGAUGGCGAAGGCAGCCAUCUGGCCUAAUACUGACGCUGAGGCACGAAAGCGUGGGGAGCAAACAGGAUUAGAUACCCCCGUAGUCCCUGUCUCUUAUAC
rnacentral:rRNA from 1 species